GGGGAUGACCAGGAUUUGAUUGGACGUUCCAAAGUUUGAGAGCAAGCCGAGUCUGAUAGAACCUCGUUAAACUCUAUCAAAAGUUAAAUGCAGACGAAAAUGCAUAUGUAGCCCAACCAGCAAUGGUCGGCGCUCUAGCUUAACAUUUAAACUAAGCUAGGAUCUUUGGCUUCUUGUCUGGAAGGGGCACAAAGGUCUUAUAAAACCAGACUGCGGAGAUUGAGGAUUGAUUCGACUCAAAAUCCAAGCACGGUAGUGUAAAUCAUAGAAUCUAUGAAGGGCUUUAGGUUGGUCAGUUCCCUUUCCUUCUGAGUAAAAACUAACUACGCUUGUAAACUUUUAAAUUUCUGGCUUUCAAGACAGGGGUUCGAUUCCCCUCAUCUCCACCA
rnacentral:tmRNA from 1 species